CUUGCAAAAUCUCCUUUUGUAUUGCCUAUUUAUCGAAACACAGACAAAUUUGAGAAGAUGAACUGUAUGAACAAAUUAAUCUAGCUCGUAAAAUUCACUAUUAUGGAGGCCAAGAAGACAUUCGGGAUCUUCUUUCUACUACUUGUCUUGGUUGCUCAGGUGACCACCGCUGAUGAAGUGGGAGCAAAUGUUUGCGAAACAAAGAGCAACAUAUUCAAGGGUAUAUGCAUCCGUCGCGCCAACUGUGAUUUAGUGUGCAAGAGUGAGGGAUUCAGUGAGGGUGGAUGCCGAGGGUUUUUUCCUGCCUGUAAAUGCUCUAAAGCUUGUUAGACUGUUAGUUGAAGUGUCCCCAUAGUUUAUCCUAUAUAUGCAUUUUGCAUAGGAUAAAUUAAGACAGAUUGGAGUCUCCAUGAAUGGUGAAACAGGAGCUAAUUAAUUAUGUUGCAAUUUUACAGUCUUGUUAUAAUUCCCACAUAUUAUAGAUUGAUUUUGCAUUGUGGUAA